rnacentral:lncRNA from 10 species
GGAACUUGAUAAUGUUCAAGGGCUCAAUAGCCACAUAUGACUACUGGGUAUGAAUUAGAUACUGCAGGAUUCCAGUUUGAAAUACAUUAAACUGAAUGAGGUCUUCCAUUAGUCACGAGAUUCUGUGAUUUCUUUUUGUUCUUCAAUAUUUUUCAGCCAUAUUUUGGAUGAUUACUAUAGUUAUAUCUUUCAAUUCACUGAUGUUAUUUUUUCCUGUAGUAUAUAAUUUGCUGUUAUUCUCUUUCAGUCAAUUUUUUGUUUUAGAUAUUUUAUGUUUCUCAUCCAGAAAUUUGAUUUUAGAUUUUUGAGCACUUUUCAUUUUUUUCUCAUCAGGUUCAUGCUUUUAUCUACCUACAGAAGCAUAACCAUUAUAUUUACAGCAGAUGCUUUAACAUAUUUAUUUGUUAAUUUUAUUAUACUCAUAUUUUUGAGAAGACCCUGCUGUAAAUUGUUGGAUCUCCUCUCUUUUUGGCUUCCACUUGAUUCACUUCCUCCAUUCUUUUGUUUUACCCAAAACUUCUGGUCACCUUGAUCUCUCUUAUCUGUGAUCCUGUCUUCUCAACUUAGCAAGAACUCUAAUCUUGAUGUUAUCUCUCCCUGCACAGAUGGAUAGACACUCCUUCCAGAAAGUAAAUUGGAGUAAUCAUAAGAUUUCCUUUGUUUUAUCAAUUUCUCUUAGGAAUUACUUUUUUGCAUUGAUUACCAUCCAGCAUUGAGAAAUCCCUGUUUCAUAUAUUUUGUCUGAUUAUUAUUAUUAUUUUUUUUUUGAGACGUAGUCUUGCUCUGUCCACCAGGCUGGAGUGCAAUGGUGCAAUCUUGGCUCACUACAACCUCCAUCUCCUGGGUUCAAGCAUUUCUCCUGCCUUGGCCUCUGGAGUAGCUGGGACUAUAGGCACACACCACCACACCCAUCUAACUUUUGUAUUUUUAGUAGAGACACAGUUUCACCAUGUUGGCCAGGCUGGUCUCGAACUCCUGACCUCAUGAUCUGCCCACCUCAUCUGCUUUAUAGUUGUUCGAUUCAGGAGAGUAAAUUGGUCCCUGUUCCUUCACCAUAGUGGAAAGUGAAAGCUUAUGAAUUUAAUUUUAAUCAAAGUUCUAUUUUAAAUAAUUUAGUUUAUGAAGCUAGUUUUAAUUAUAACUUUUGCACAAGUUAAAACUUAAUUUCUUAUUUUAUUUUAUACCAGAUAUCAUUUCUUGACACUCACCCUAAUUUAACAAUGUUUUCCUACAUAAUUUUUCUUCAAUGUCUGGAUGAAAAAGUUCUCAAUGAACAAUUUCUAAAACUGUUUAUAUUAGGUAUGUACUUCUUUAAAAAAUGAAUAUUUUCUGUCAUCAUGUAUAUUUAAUGGUAGAAAUUAGUGUGACUAUAAAAUUGAAUUAAAUGUAUCUCAGCCAAUUUCCUAAUUAUAAUAUUAAAUUCCCAAUCUAUGGAUUAAGUUCAAGAGCUGCUUUGCUGUGAAUAUGACCAUAAAUCUAAUGCCAAAUACUUCAUUUGAGUUUUUUAAAAAUUAUUUGUUUAUUCUAUCCAAAAUCUCUUUUUAAAAAUGAAAAAGGAAAGAUGCCACUAUUCAUUUUUAAAUUUGACAUAAAUGUUUCUUUUAUACACAGUCCACAAAACGGCCUCAUUGCUACAAUUUCAGCUAUUCUAGAUUUAAUAGUAAUUCUUAGCAUGAAUUUACCCUUGAUUACAUUCACUUUCCUUCAUGAUUUCAUUGCCAAGGAUGAGGUAAAGUUAGCAUUUUUAAGCUACACAAGAUAAAAUACGUCAUAUUCUGAUGUCCACUUAAAAUGAACAAGUGCAAAAUUUAUGACUCAUAUGAGAAAAUGUAAUAUUCUUUUAUCCUUCAUCAGUUAAUGAAAAAGGAUCAUAGAAAACAGUUUUACAACAUGCAGUUUAAUGAGUAGAAAAUAUUCUCUUAUCGUUUUCAUGCCUUCAAACAUUUCAUCCUCACCUCAUGGUGCAGAGAGGAGUCAUUUAUAUAAAAAUCAAAUUCUUCCGUGGCGUAAUUGUUUUUAAAAAUUUCAAGAUUUUAUGGUAAUAUUAAUAAAUAAGUGCUACUAUUCUAACUUUUAAUUACAUGAAAUAUACUAAAAUGCUUGCUCUUCUCAUGUAAUUAAAAUUUUAACAUAAUUGCUAUAUAAAAUAAAGGCUGAAUAAACAAUGAACCAUGAUUCAAUGAAUAUAAGUUGUCAGAAGAGACAUCAACAUGACCAUAGUGCUAUUUGCUUAAGUAAACAUAGCAUUUUUUACACCCUAUAUAUCAAUGUAGUGGACUUGAAUGUCUCCAGACUACUCCUGAAUAAAUUGUAACAUUUUUGUUAAAAUUGCAGUUCUUCAGCUAUAUGAUAUUCUAUUUUAUAUAUAUCUAUUAACCCGAUUAUCUUAUAAAGCUCCGUAUUAUAUAUGGUCAUAUUAACCUCUGUUCACUAAUUGGUUGAUUAUGAUAAAUAAUAAAUUUGUUUCUGUCUUUGCUUAGAUAGGUGGGCAGGAAAGAGAAAUUUUCUAUCUGUAUACUUCUCAUACUUAAUACCUACUAUAUAAUUUGCCCUAGUGUAUCACAUUUAAAAACGUGUCUAUUUUCCUGAUUAAAACAUUAUAAAAUAUUUAAUACUUUAAUAACAUUUAUUUUAAAAUAUUGGUUCUAUUUUUUAAAUAUUGACAACAAGGUAUAUAGAAGUGGCAUUCAUUUGUAAGGGUGACAGUAUUAGGAUGGGAAAGCAGAUAAAUAGAAAAAGGAUAAAGAAAAUAAAUGCAAUGGUAGAAUUCCUUACCUGAUAUCAGUAAACCAUGAAACUUAAUCCCUUCACCAAAAUCGUGUUUUAAUUCAUAUUUCAGUUAUUCCUGCAAACUCAGAAAUGGGCUUAUUUGAAGUACCAUAUUAGCCUGAAUAUAAAAUGCUAUAAGUCAUCAGCUAAAAAUCUAAUCCCACCAAGUAUUUUGUGAUUUUCCAAAGUAUUUUUGUGUUUUACCAAAGAUAUUGGAGGGUGAAGAGAUUGUUCACUGCCAUAGUCCAAUAAUAAAUCCAUGUAAGGCAUUUCGGUUCUGUGAGGUUGUUGCUUAGCCAAAGAGCACCUGACACCCCUUCUUCACCACUGCUAUUAUGAGCUGAAUUGUGUCACCCCAAAUUCAUCUAUACUGAAAUCCCAAUGCCCAGUACUUCAGAAUAUGACUUUAUUUGGAGAAAGGAUAUUUAAAGCGAUAGGGUUAAAUGAGUUCAUUAGCAUGGGCCCUAAUCUAAUAUGGCCAGUAUCAUUGUAAGAAGAGGAAAUUAGGAAAAAGACAAGCACAGAGGAAGACUGUGUGGAAAAACAGGAAGAUUGCCAUCUACAAGCCAAAGAAAGAGUUCCUAGAAGAAGCCAACCCUUCUUGACGUCUUGAUCUUGGACUUUUAACCUCCAGUAUUGUGAGAAAAUAAAUUUCUGUUUUUAAAUCCACCAGUCUGUGGUGUUUUAUUAUGGAAGACUUCUAUGGGUGGAACAUUUGUUCCUUCUAAUACUUGCACAAAAAUUUAAUCCACAGUAUGGUAAUAUUGAGAGAAGUGGUGUUUAGAGGUGAUUGGAUCGUGAGGUCUCAGCCCUCAUGAAUAGAUUAAUUCAUGGAUUCACCCAUUCAUAGGUUAAUGGAUUUAUGGAUUAAUGAAGUAGUGGGUUAUCUUGGGAGGGAAACUGGAGGCUAUAUAAGAAGAGGAAGAGAGACCUGAGGUAUCAUGUUAGCCCACUCUACCCUUUCACCAUGUGAUGACCUGUGCUGCCUCCGGACUCUGAGUAUACCCCAGGAAGAAGGCCCACACCAGAUGCGCCCCCUCAGCCUUGGGCUUCUCAGUCUCCAUGAUUGUAAUAAAUAAUUUCAUUUCAUUAUGAAUGAUCCAGUUUCAGGUAUUCUGAUAUAAGCAACAGAAAACAGACUAGGACAAAGCCCUAGCAAUCCAGUAGAGCAACUCUGCCUCAUUCAGUGCCUGUUGCUGCCGCUUCUUUCUCUUAAAUAUCAUUCAGGGGAUACAUGUGCAGACUUCUUACAUGGGUAUACUGUGUGAUGCUGAAGUUUCGGAUACGACUGAUCCAGUUACCAGCAUCUGCCACCUGUGAGACAGCAAGAGAAACCUUUCUUCUUCCUCCUAGUCCUCAGCCUCCUCAAGGUGAAGACACGAAGAUGAAGACCUUUAUGAUGAUCUGUUUCCACUUAAUGAACAGUAAGAAUAUUUUUGCUUCCUUAUAAUGCUCUUAAUAACAUUUUCUUUUCUCUCACUUACUUCGUUGUAAGAAUAUAGUAUAUAAUACAUAUCACCUACAACAUAUGUGUUAAUUGACUUUUAUGCUAUCGGUAAGGCUUCCAGUGUACAGUGAGCUAUUAGUAGUUAAGACUUUGGAGUCAAAAGUUAUAUGCAGAUUUUUUCCUGCAUGCGAGUUGGCGCCCCAACCCCCAUGUUACUCACGGGUCAGCUGCAUUAGGUUAUAAGAUAAAAGUUCAUACCCUUUUUUUACAUAUGAGAAGCUGAAUUCAGAAAGCCAAAAUGAUUUGCCACACUCAAACCAGGUCUAAUUUAUUAUGUCAGGAUGUGAAGUUUAUUCGUUCCCAUGGAAACUACUAUUUACUUUGAAUCUCUUCCAUACUCAGGGCAUAUACACUUCCCCAAGGAAGCUAAGAUCAGGAAAUUAU